UCCAACCAUGUCUUUGAUUUAGGUUUUGCUUCUACCCUUCCUAUGGUUGCAGAUUUGUUUUCCCUGAGGCUGUGCUGGUAGUGACUGAAAAUCUGUUAAAUCCUUUGGUUUGCAAUCUAUCAUCCAUCUUUCUGUUUGAUUCGGUUUCUGUCUUUCCAUGUGCUUUUGGUCGUCUGCAUGUGUUGACUACAGGAUUUAGUUAGGAGUUGGAUUACCCCUAGGGAAGAAAAUAAAUCUACGGGGAGCCAGGUCAGUGUUUUGUGGAUGUUUGGUUCAUUUUGUGUCCGCCUCCACGAGUUGGCUGCAGGACUGGAUCUGGUCUGGAACUUGAGCCCUCUAUGGCAAAGGGCGGUUACUUUAUUGGUUAUGGCUCGGUGCUUAUGUGUGCUUAUGUGAUCUCGUUGAAACUUGUGAGCUGCUGGAUUGGAUUGCUGAUAAUGGGAUGGACCCAGAGAAGUUACAGAUUGUGUUGGGAUAAUUAGUCCUUCUGAUUUAAUUUCUUUCUCAAUUGAGUGUACACCAAUUCUGAAAUGGAUUGUUGGUUCUCCAGAUAUUGGACUUGCACAACUUGGCGAAGGUGCCCUAUUUUGCUUCAUCAUGUUAUCGAUAUUAAAAUGGAGGAUUUCGUUCUGGAACCAAAGGAUUGUUGUCUAUCUCCCAGCUGAGCAAGCUUAUCCUAUUCCCUCAAUAUUUGAUGCAUGAACAAAAAAUGUACAGCAAUGUCUUAGGUCCAACCUGAUGUUGUAUUAUAUCUUUUUGGAAAUCUUAACACACUACCUUCUCAAUUCACAACAACUUUGUAAACGUAAAAGGUUAUCAAAGUGUCUCACCGAGAGGCAAUAUUUGGACA